rnacentral:rRNA from 1 species
AUACGGAGGAUGCGAGCGUUAUCCGGAUUUAUUGGGUUUAAAGGGUGCGUAGGCUGUGCGUUAAGUCAGGGGUGAAAUGCCGUCGCUCAACGACGGAGCUGCCCUUGGUACUGGCGUGCUGGAGUACGGAUGCCGUUGGAGGAAUGAGUGGUGUAGCGGUGAAAUGCUUAGAUAUCACUCAGAACGCCGAUUGCGAAGGCAUCUGACGAAUCCGUCACCGACGCUGAGGCACGAAAGCGUGGGGAUAGAACAGGAUUAGAUACCCUGGUAUUCCACGCCGUAAACGAUGAUGACUAACCGUCGGCGAUAGACAGCCGGUGGCCAAGCGAAAGCGAUAAGUCAUCCACCUGGGGAGUACGUCGGCAACGAUGAAACUCAAAUGAAUUGACGGGG